rnacentral:rRNA from 1 species
AACGAACGCUGGCGGCAUGCCUAACACAUGCAAGUCGAACGAGACCUUCGGGUCUAGUGGCGCACGGGUGCGUAACGCGUGGGAACCUGCCCUUAGGUUCGGAAUAACUCCCCGAAAGGGGUGCUAAUACCGGAUAAUGUCUUCGGACCAAAGAUUUAUCGCCUUUGGAUGGGCCCGCGUUGGAUUAGCUAGUUGGUAGGGUAAAAGCCUACCAAGGCGACGAUCCAUAGCUGGUCGGAGAGGAUGAUCAGCCACACUGGGACUGAGACACGGCCCAGACUCCUACGGGAGGCAGCAGUGGGGAAUAUUGGACAAGGGGCGAAAGCCUGAUCCAGCAAUGCCGCGUGAGUGAUGAAGGCCUUAGGGUUGUAAAGCUCUUUUACCCGGGAUGAUAAUGACAGUACCGGGAGAAUAAGCUCCGGCUAACUCCGUG